UGGGUAACCUGCCCUCAGCACGGGGAUAACCCCGGGAAACCGGAGCUAAUACCGGAUACUCCGGCUGGAUCGCAUGGUCCGGCCGGGAAAGGUCCGCCGGAGAGGGAUGGGCCCGCGGCCUAUCAGCUUGUUGGUGAGGUAACGGCCCACCAAGGCGACGACGGGUAGCCGGCCUGAGAGGGCGACCGACCACACUGGGACUGAGACACGGCCCAGACUCCUACGGGAGGCA
rnacentral:rRNA from 1 species